rnacentral:rRNA from 1 species
AGUGAACGCUGGCGGUAGGCCUAACACAUGCCAGUCGAACGGCAGCACAGUAAGAGCUUGCUCUUACGGGUGGCGAGUGGCGGACGGGUGAGGAAUACAUCGGAAUCUACUUUUUCGUGGGGGAUAACGUAGGGAAACUUACGCUAAUACCGCAUACGACCUACGGGUGAAAGCAGGGGAUCUUCGGACCUUGCGCGAUUGAAUGAGCCGAUGUCGGAUUAGCUAGUUGGCGGGGUAAAGGACCACCAAGGCGACGAUCCGUAGCUGGUCUGAGAGGAUGAUCAGCCACACUGGAACUGAGACACGGCCCAGACUCCUACGGGAGGCAGCAGUGGGGAAUAUUGGACAAUGGGCGCAAGCCUGAUCCAGCCAUACCGCGUGGGUGAAGAAGGCCUUCGGGUUGUAAAGCCCUUUUGUUGGGAAAGAAAAGCAGCAGGUUAAUACCCCGCUGUUCUGACGGUACCCAAAGAAUAAGCACCGGCUAACUUCGUG